GGUGUUAAAAUAAAUCAUUAAGAAAGUUAUAGGUGAAUGUUUAGAAAAAUGCACGGUAAUUGGGAACAGUCAGCAUGGUUUUGUCAAAGGAAAAUUACAUCUAACCAAUUUAUUGGAGUCCUUUGAAGGAGUAACAUGAGUUGUGAUUAAAGGGAAGCCUGUACAGAUACAAUAUUUGGAUUUCUAGAAGGCACUUAACAAGACACUACAUAAAAGAACUCAUCAGCAGUAAGGUCAACCUAAAACCCUUGCUUACCUGGAUCAAGGCCUACCGAUCCAAACAGCUAUAGAUUCUGUAGUAAUGUCAGAUGGAGGGCUUAUGUCUUCAUAUCCAAGCAAUAGCUUGGAUCUGUGGAUUACUGGAAGAAAGUGAGGACUGCAGAUGCUGGAGAUCAGAGCUGAACGUGUGUUCCUGGAA